rnacentral:rRNA from 1 species
UUUAACAUGAGAGUUCGAUCCUGGCUCAGGAUGAACGCUGGCGGCGUGCUUAACACAUGCAAGUCGAGCGAAGCGGUUUCGAUGAAGUUUUCGGAUGGAUUUGAAAUUGACUUAGCGGCGGACGGGUGAGUAACGCGUGGGUAACCUGCCUUACACUGGGGGAUAACAGUUAGAAAUGACUGC